ACAAUUACCACGUAUUAUAAAGUGGAUAUUUGUUGUAAACGCUGAUAUACAUAAAUACAAAUACUGUGUUGUUAAUAUUCAGUUUGCAGUUUGCAUUGAACCGUCUUGCUAUUACUGUCGCAUUACGCUUUAGCUAUUUUUAGGCUAAUUAUGUCAUCAAAGUAGAACUUCAUAAUAGAGGAAGGGUAGGGAGAAGAGUUUCAAGUGACCGAGAAGAGAAAGAGGAAGAUGGUAGAAGAAAAGAGAGAAACACGGUGUAGUAAGAAAGCAUUAAAGAGUUAGUAAGGUUGGAAGGGCGGAUGUUAGAAGUAAACUAGGCGAAGGAAGGGGAGGAGAAUGGAGAAAUUGAUGGCCGAGGGAAGGAAAAAAAUGUGAGAAAGGGAAGGAGGGAGAGCGGAAUACUCACUCGUCGAGAUCAAGUCGUUAUAGUAACGUGUGGCUAUCACUGUUCGGUGAGGAAAAUCUUAAAAGGCGGCUGAUUUAUGCGAGUGAAGGAUGCAGUUAUUUAGAUAUGGAAAGUUAGUCUAGUAUAUAGGAAAUCCUUGUAAAGAAGUGAAAGGGUUUUUGAUACACAGUGGGUAUGUGAAGAAACUGAUAGGAAGAAGAAAAUUACUUGGAUAUUUGAGGCUGAAUCGUUAAUACGAAUAAUAUUCCAGGAAAAGAGGAAUAAAAAUAGCAGGAUGACCAGAGAUAAAAGGAAAAGAAAAUUGGGAGGGAGACUUUUGAGCCAUUAUAAUGACUUUAGUGGCGGAGCAACUUUGGUACGUACUUUAUGGCCCUCUUGAAAACUUAUAUCACCUAAUAACCCCGAGGCUUAACUGGUGGCGGGAGAGACUUCGCGCGUCAUGAACUGUAGCAGUGGACGUAACAGAAGUAAUGCCAAGGACACACACACACACACACACACACAGUCCAUGUCUUAGUUGAAUAUUCAUCUGUCGUAAUCUGUAUACUCUUUUUUUUUUUUUAUUUCUGUGGAUCUAUAUGUAUACUCGUCUGUUUUGUCUAGUAGUAUCUGUUCAUCUGUUGUUUUUGUGACUACUCAUCUGUCUGUCCUGUGGCGCGACCCAACAGGCGGAGCGCGGUGCUGAUUGGACCAUUGAAAGCGAGACGUGACCUGGGGAACCAAUGUGGUGAUCGGGAGGGGAGGUAGUGAGAGCCGGUAAUGGAGAAGCGAGUCACUCUGAAUACGCUCAAAUCCCUCCUCGUCACAUCCCAUUGAAGGCGACAUGAAAGGUGUCGGCUCUCAGUUGCAGGUGUGGGAAUGCCCAUCUCCACCACAGCAAGGGUGUACAAGAAGCAGGUGAUGGGGGCAGAGGCAGAGAGUUACCUAGAAUGGGAAAAUUUUCCUUAUCUAGGACUAUUAAAGGAGAGACUAAGGGCUCGACAGUGAUCUUCCGGGGUACAAGGCCUUCCACUAGCACCAACACCAAGAUGAUGGAUGACUCUCCAUCUGCAUGCGCUGCUCCUUCCACAUUGUUGACAGCUGGGAGUAUGUCGAGGUGCUGACCCUUUACUUCUCCAAGCUCUCCAUGCACUUAUAUCAAGUCUACUGAAUCUGGUGCCCUGCCUUGAAGUUACACUGACUUUUCUCAUCCAAUGCUGGACUGGCCUUCAGUAAAUUGUUUUAGUGGUGAGCUUGCUACUUGAUCUUUACAUACUAUCUUCACAGAGUUUAGCAGUAUAGUGUCAGUGACUUUUGGGAGUACAAAAGGUGGUAUGGUUAUCACAGAUGAGGCAAGGGGUACAAGACAAGUCAGCCAGCAGCAAUGUGUUAGAUCACCAACCAUCACAGACCUGUGAGUCUAUUUAUUUUCCCGAUGCCUCCAGGGGCUUAACCCAGGAAGGUGUGGCCAUGGCAGAAGACCCAUCAUCUAACAUAUAAACAGUAUCAUUAUCACAAA